UACGAAGGGGGCUAGCGUUGCUCGGAAUCACUGGGCGUAAAGGGUGCGUAGGCGGGUCUUUAAGUCAGGGGGUGAAAUCCUGGAGCUCAACUCCAGAACUGCCUUUGAUACUGGAGGAUCUUGAGUUCGGGAGAGGUGAGUGGAACUGCGAGUGUAGAGGUGAAAUUCGUAGAUAUUCGCAAGAACACCAGUGGCGAAGGCGGCUCACUGGUCCGGUACUGACGCUGAGGUGCGAAAGCGUGGGGAGCAAACAGG
rnacentral:rRNA from 1 species